rnacentral:rRNA from 1 species
GACGAACGCUGGCGGCGUGCUUAACACAUGCAAGUCGAGCGAUGAAGCUCCUUCGGGAGCGGAUUAGCGGCGGACGGGUGAGUAACACGUGGGUAACCUGCCUCAUAGAGGGGAAUAGCCUUUCGAAAGGAAGAUUAAUACCGCAUAAGAUUGUAGUGCCGCAUGGCAUAGCAAUUAAAGGAGUAAUCCGCUAUGAGAUGGACCCGCGUCGCAUUAGCUAGUUGGUGAGGUAACGGCUCACCAAGGCGACGAUGCGUAGCCGACCUGAGAGGGUGAUCGGCCACAUUGGGACUGAGACACGGCCCAGACUCCUACGGGAGGCAGCAGUGGGGAAUAUUGCACAAUGGGGGAAACCCUGAUGCAGCAACGCCGCGUGAGUGAUGACGGUCUUCGGAUUGUAAAGCUCUGUCUUCAGGGACGAUAAUGACGGUACCUGAGGAGGAAGCCACGGCUAACUACGUG